AACGAACGCUGGCGGCAUGCCUAACACAUGCAAGUCGAACGAGACCUUCGGGUCUAGUGGCGCACGGGUGCGUAACGCGUGGGAACCUGCCCUUAGGUUCGGAAUAACUCCCCGAAAGGGGUGCUAAUACCGGAUAAUGUCUUCGGACCAAAGAUUUAUCGCCUUUGGAUGGGCCCGCGUUGGAUUAGCUAGUUGGUAGGGUAAAAGCCUACCAAGGCGACGAUCCAUAGCUGGUCUGAGAGGAUGAUCAGCCACACUGGGACUGAGACACGGCCCAGACUCCUACGGAAGGGAGCAGUGGGGAAUAUUGGACAAUGGGCGAAAGCCUGAUCCAGCAAUGCCGCGUGAGUGAUGAAGGCCUUAGGGUUGUAAUGCUCUUUUACCCGGGAUGAUAAUGACGGUACCGGGAGAAUAAGCUCCGGCUAACUCCGUG
rnacentral:rRNA from 1 species